UUAAGUUCAGCGGUAGUCCUACCUGAUUUGAGAUCGAACUUCAGACAGCUGUCUUCACGGAGGAGAGACAUCUAUAAGCUCCAGCGAACCUCUGCAGACCAGAGGUUUACCUCGCAGGCGAUCACAAGCGUAGAUGGUUAUCACACCCAUGAUGCCGCCAGACACUGGCGAGCUGAUUUAUUUGAGGAGAGCUGACCACA
rnacentral:misc_RNA from 1 species